GACGGAAGGUGCAAGCGUUGCUCGGAAUCACUGGGCGUAAAGGGUGCGUAGGCGGGUCUUUAAGUCAGGGGUGAAAUCCUGGAGCUCAACUCCAGAACUGCCUUUGAUACUGAAGAUCUUGAGUUCGGGAGAGGUGAGUGGAACUGCGAGUGUAGAGGUGAAAUUCGUAGAUAUUCGCAAGAACACCAGUGGCGAAGGCGGCUCACUGGCCCGAUACUGACGCUGAGGCACGAAAGCGUGGGGAGCAAACAGG
rnacentral:rRNA from 1 species